rnacentral:rRNA from 1 species
AACAGGAUUAGAUACCCUGGUAGUCCACGCCGUAAACGAUGUCGACUUGGAGGUUGUGCCCUUGAGGCGUGGCUUCCGGAGCUAACGCGUUAAGUCGACCGCCUGGGGAGUACGGCCGCAAGGUUAAAACUCAAAUGAAUUGACGGGGGCCCGCACAAGCGGUGGAGCAUGUGGUUUAAUUCGAUGCAACGCGAAGAACCUUACCUACUCUUGACAUCCACGGAAUUUGGCAGAGAUGCCUUAGUGCCUUCGGGAACCGUGAGACAGGUGCUGCAUGGCUGUCGUCAGCUCGUGUUGUGAAAUGUUGGGUUAAGUCCCGCAACGAGCGCAACCCUUAUCCUUUGUUGCCAGCGGUCCGGCCGGGAACUCAAAGGAGACUGCCAGUGAUAAACUGGAGGAAGGUGGGGAUGACGUCAAGCCACCAUGGCCCUUACGAGUAGGGCUACACACGUGCUACAAUGGCAUAUACAAAGAGAAGCGACCUCGCGAGAGCAAGCGGACCUCAUAAAGUAUGUCGUAGUCCGGAUUGGAGUCUGCAACUCGACUCCAUGAAGUCGGAAUCGCUAGUAAUCGUGGAUCAGAAUGCCACGGUGAAUACGUUCCCGGGCCUUGUACACACCGCCCGUCACACCAUGGGAGUGGGUUGCAAAAGAAGUAGGUAGCUUAACCUUCGGGAGGGCGCUUACCACUUUGUGAUUCAUGACUGGGGUGAAGUCGUAACAAGGUAACC